rnacentral:rRNA from 1 species
ACUGACAGGAAAAGGGUAAUAUCCUCAGAGAAACCCAUAUACUUUGGCGGCCUUUAUUCUAAUCAAAGGAACUUGUUAAGUAAUCGAAAAUACCCGCUCAUUUUCUCUUUUCGUAAGCCUUUAUACCGUCGUCUAAAGAGUACAUUUCAAUAUAUUUCUCUAAAGCGGGACAUCCGACCAAGUCAGAUCAAGGUGAAGCCAAUGGAAAAGGAUUAAUGAGUUAUUAAUAAAAAAUAUUUAAGGAUUCCACCUCAAAAAGUAAAUGAAUUAAGAUUUGAAAGUACUUUAAAAUUAUAAAAUCCAAAGAAAAAAGUAAAUAAAGGUGU